UUCCUUCGGGAAGUGGAUUAGCGGCGGACGGGUGAGUAACACGUGGGUAACCUGCCUCAAAGUGGGGGAUAGCCUUCCGAAAGGAAGAUUAAUACCGCAUAACAUAAGAGAAUCGCAUGAUUUUCUUAUCAAAGAUUUAUUGCUUUGAGAUGGACCCGCGGCGCAUUAGCUAGUUGGUAAGGUAACGGCUUACCAAGGCAACGAUGCGUAGCCGACCUGAGAGGGUGAUCGGCCACAUUGGAACUGAAACACGGUCCAGACUCCUACGGGAGGCAGCAGUGGGGAAUAUUGCGCAAUGGGGGAAACCCUGACGCAGCAACGCCGCGUGGGUGAUGAAGGUCUUCGGAUUGUAAAGCCCUGUUUUCUGGGACGAUAAUGACGGUACCAGAGGAGGAAGCCACGGCUAACUACGUGCCAGCAGCCGCGGUAAUACGUAGGUGGCGAGCGUUGUCCGGAUUUACUGGGCGUAAAGGGUGCGUAGGCGGAUGUUUAAGUGGGAUGUGAAAUCCCCGGGCUUAACCUGGGGGCUGCAUUCCAAACUGGAUAUCUAGAGUGCAGGAGAGGAAAGCGGAAUUCCUAGUGUAGCGGNGAAAUGCGUAGAGAUUAGGAAGAACACCAGUGGCGAAGGCGGCUUUCUGGACUGUAACUGACGCUGAGGCACGAAAGCGUGGGUAGCAAACAGGAUUAGAUACCCUGGUAGUCCACGCCGUAAACGAUGGAUACUAGGUGUAGGGGGUAUCAACUCCCCCUGUGCCGCAGUUAACACAAUAAGUAUCCCGCCUGGGGAGUACGGUCGCAAGAUUAAAACUCAAAGGAAUUGACGGGGGCCCCGCACAAGCAGCGGAGCAUGUGGUUUAAUUCGA
rnacentral:rRNA from 1 species